AGAUUUGAGUGACGUAUCACCUUUUAUGGGCUUUGAUUUCAUUGGCCUGCUGCAUCAUUUUGACAUGUGGCAUGAUCCUAUUGAAUCCUUUCCUUGACGUGGCAUGCCACGUCAUUUGACGCGUAACGCUUAUUUGAGCCUCUAGAAUAUAACAAUAUUUUGGGCUUAGCAAAGUGCGCUCAUCAUUUGUAACCCAAAUUGAUGGGCUAGCCCAAUAAA
rnacentral:lncRNA from 1 species